ensembl:lncRNA
UCAGUCCCCUCCCACCAAGCUAGCUAGAUGGAACCCAAACUGACGACUAGAAUCUCUAGCUACGGCCCGACUGCCAGCGGACGCCUGACAAGUGUGAUCCAAAUUUGUCGUUUGAUGCGGGGACAGAACUCCAGCAGGAGAUUGUGUUUUUCAAAACAGAUUCAUGUGGCGUUAGUAUCCGACAUCUGAUGAGAUCUGGAUCAGUCUGAUCCGUGGCUUGUGGCCCAAUGCUGUACCAAAUAACAUGGACGCCGCCUAUGAGAAUGUGGAGAUGAACCAACUCUUGUUUUUUAAAGGUACGACGAGCAGUAGAAGACAAUGGAGGAGGGGUCCCCAGCGCCAAUAGACCAGCAAUGGCCGGGCGUUCCCUCUCACCUCGAUGCAGCUAUUUUUUAUAAGGCAGCAGAAUUAAGAACAAAAACAUUUCAGUGAGCUGUCUGUGAAGCUGGGAGAACUUGGUGGGAUGGAAUCGGUCACAAGGGGUACAUCACUGAUCAAAGUUUGGGAACCACUGGAUCCGACAAUUCCAUACCAGAAAACACUUCAGUUUUCCAUUGAUAUGUAUACAAAAGACUGCUUCCAUUAAAGCAGUCAGGAAGCAUGUAUGUGCCAUUCAAAAUUGUAAUUAAGUAAUGUUUCUACAUUGUAUGCUAUGUUAUAAAAAAUAAAUAUAUUACUAUAGUA